AUUGGGGAGGGAAGGCCCCUCAGCCUGGAUUGUGAGAGGGCACAGGCCAGGCCAAGGGACCCCACUGGUGCACA
rnacentral:pre_miRNA from 1 species